AUUGAACGCUGGCGGCAGGCCUAACACAUGCAAGUCGAACGAGUGGCGGACGGGUGAGUAAUGUCUGGGAAACUGCCUGAUGGAGGGGGAUAACUACUGGAAACGGUAGCUAAUACCGCAUACCAUCGGAUGUGCCCAGAUGGGAUUAGCUAGUAGGUGGGGUAAAGGCUCACCUAGGCGACGAUCCCUAGCUGGUCUGAGAGGAUGACCAGCCACACUGGAACUGAACCACGGCCCAAACCCCUACGGUGGGCAGCAGUGGGGAAAAUUGCACAAUGGGGGAAAGCCUGAUGCAGCCAUGCCGCGUGUAUGAAGAGGGCCUUCGGGUUGUAAAGUACUUUCAGCGGGGAGGCGUUACCCGCAGAAGAAGCACCGGCUAACUCCGUGCCAGCAGCCGCGGUAAUAC
rnacentral:rRNA from 1 species